UCUCACUUAGUUUAAGAUUAGAACUAUGAUUUUGUAAUUCAUGGGUGAUUGUUUUUAU
rnacentral:tRNA from 1 species